rnacentral:misc_RNA from 1 species
AGAAACAGAACUUCCCGAUGUGUCAGAUGCUGCUCCUGAAGGUGCUGAAAAGGCUGGUAUUGAUGUAAUAUCAACCUCUCCAAAUGCUCAAUUACCCUCUGGCAUUGCUGCACCUCCAGUGUCAGAGACUGCUUCCACUUUGGCUUCUCUUCGCAUGCUGCGCGUGUAUUUGAGAACAUAUGGACUGGAGCAAAUGGUCCAAGCUGCGAGCUCUUCAGCUGGACUCCGGACAAUCAAACGGGUUGAACAAACUUUACAAGACCUUGGGGUUA